ACCGACUCCAGGAUUGUCUCCCAAAUCCCACUUCCGCCACUUCUUCCUCCCGAGACCGGCCAAGCGCGCCUGGUUGUCCGCCCUUCUUGGGCUCCUAGGGAGAACGUGGUCCGGGAACUGGCGGUCACUGGGAGGCAGCAUAAGAGGUUUUCGCGCUCCUCUGCUGGUGCAACUAUCGCGACCAUCACCCUGACAGCGGGAGGAAGGGUGCCGCAGGCAAAGGGUGGCGCACCUGCAGAUUCGGUUUCUUGCUCGGGGCUCUCGCGAGAGCCGGCGCUGGAGUGUGGACCGCGCAUGCCGGUGACGCGUGGUGGAGACACGUCGCCGGCGCCUCUCUCCCUAGGCCUUCCAGGGGGCUGGAGUGCAGCGGCGCUAUCUCGUCUCACUGCAACCUCCACCUCCCAGGUACAAGCGAUUCUCCUGCCUCAGCCUUCGGAGUAGCUGGGAUUACAGGCGCCCACCACCACGCCCAGACAGCUGACAUGAUGGGCUGUGACCUGAAGGUUAUUGAACAGUUGGAGUGUUCUGCAUUCAUGUGGAAGAGGCUAAAGGAUGUUUGAUGAAGCACUAUGGGCUGCCCUGGAAGAGGACUGAAGAAGCAGCUGCAGAACAAAGCCUUCCCGCUUCCUGAAAGAAAACUCCAUUGUGCUGCCUUUUCAAGCUGCUGUGAAUGCUUUGAAUUCAAACUAACUAUUGAGCCUAUGCUCAACCUGACCACACUGCCUAGGAGGGGGUAAGUAACCUGCCACCUGCCCUUUCCUGCAGAAUGCCUACAGAUGCUGUCCAUACUCAUGAAGCUGAUGUCAUAGGUAAAUCAAACUGUUUGGGACUGACUGUCCCAGGUAGUGCCUCUGAAACCAAGGACUGAACUGCCUUGGUGAGUUCAGUGAGAACCUAGAGUGAGAGGGCCCAUAGUAAAAGGCCGCAAAUUGUUGAUGGGAGACUUAUGCUUGUCCUAUGCGAUUCCACUGGAGAAGACUCUUGGAAUCUUGCAGACGUUAUUCCCCAUACUUUGCCCACAUGCCUUUUCCCUUUGCAGACUGUGUUUUGUAUCGUUUCAUUGUAAUAAAUCUUAGUUGUGAGUAUGCCUGUAUGCCGAGUAUUGUCAGUCCUUUCAGUGGAUAAUCAAACCUGGGAGCGGUCUUGGGGUCCUAAAUACAGAGGUGCACUUGGCUACUACAGCUGUGCAGCUUCAAAGAAAACUACUUAAAACUAUACACAGAAAAAGGAAUUUUUGCUUACUGGGCAGAGUUGUGAGUUAAGGUGCUUGCUCUAAAAGAGGCUUCCAAAAUGUACCUUGUUUUAUUUUCAUUGACUGAUGACAUUAACCAAUGAGUGGACAUUAUAGUCUGGUGGCUGGUUGCAGAAAAACUGGAUGAUCAAGUCUCAAGCUUUGUGGAGACAAACAUUAUGGCAACAAAUUACACAAGACCCAUGUCUUCCAUUCAUGACCCAUGUGAUGCCUGUGGAAAAAAGUCCUUUGAGAAUAAACAUCAAUGGAAUCAA
rnacentral:lncRNA from 1 species